GACUGCUAGUUAUUGGCUGGUAUGCAGUGAAAGGGAGCUAAAAAGGAGUAAAAAGUUCAUAUCAGCCAGGUAGUGUGGCUUAAAUAAACCAGUGUUAAGGAAUAUCCAGUAAUGGCAUGACAUCAUGAGAGUUUGGCAUACCGACAUUCAGAUGAUUAAUGAUGAAACUGAAGACCUCAAGUGAAAGGCAUGGAAAAUGAUCCUGUUCCCAUAUACCUGAAAAAGAGGAGGGAUGCCACAAUAUUGAUAAUAGACUUUUGUCAAUUUGAGAAGCAAAGAUGUAAAAAAAAAAAAAUAAUAAUAAUGCUGAAAUUAUAAUUCAUGUAUUUGUUAAAAAUACUGUUCACUGUACAUACAUGUAUAUUUUUUUAAACUUAUUUUUAAAUACAUGAAGUAAUUCAUAUUAAAACUGUGAAUGUA